rnacentral:rRNA from 1 species
UAACCUACCUCUUAGCGGGGGAUAACUAUUGGAAACGAUAGCUAAUACCGCAUAAAAGUCGGCAUUGCAUGAUGUUGACUUGAAAGGUGCAAAUGCAUCACUGAGAGAUGGACCUGCGUUGUAUUAGCUAGUUGGUGAGGUAACGGCUCACCAAGGCGACGAUACAUAGCCGACCUGAGAGGGUGAUCGGCCACACUGGGACUGAGACACGGCCCAG